rnacentral:lncRNA from 1 species
UUGUACAUUUACAAAAAAACAUUCCUUAAAGAAGUUACCUUUUACAAUAAAUAAAUAAAUAAAUAAAAAGAAUGUGAAAUUAUACUGGGUUGUUGUUGUAAAUAAAUAAAAAGAAUAUAUAUAAACUCAAGUUAUCAAUGUCUGAACUACGUAAUAUGGAUGGGCAAUUACCAGCUUGUAAGAAGAACAAGAGGGAAAAAGAAUUUUCCCAGCAUUCACAAAAUGUAAGGCAAAAACCCAUGCAAGAGCACAGCAUAAACCUUAUAUUGUUCUGUUCCAGAUAACGGACUCCGAAAGAUGCUAAAACAAUAAUUCACUAGAUUAUUUGAGAACCUUCACUAGUAACACAUAUAGUCCAGAUCCAAACGCAUUUGGUAUUCUGAGAGACACAGCAGGCAGCAAUGGCUUACCGGGAGUGACGAUCUGCAGGAAGGUAGAGUGAUGCCCCCACAGCAAGCAGCGAUUAUCAAGUAGAGCAGGAGUACAAACAGACAUGUUAAUAAGGCCCUGUUACCAGCAAAGUGACAAGUUGAGAUUGAUGUUUGUAUGAACCGAAAAGCAUCAAACUAGGAACUUCAUUGAUAAAAGUUCUGACUGUUGCAUAAACUGAUUUCGUCAGUUCACCUCCAACUACAUGUGCCAGCAAACAAGACGUUCACCAAAAAAAAAAUAGCUAUGAACAGCAAAAAAAAGCAUAAGUCUUGACAAGGAUAUAAUUAUAGGCAAAUGCCCAAAUGCCAGCAAAGACAGUUCUGAGAGUAGAGGUGUUUUAUUAAGAUGGUCCCAUAUUUUAUAGAGAUAUUGGCUAUAUUCUUUAAGACAAUUUGCUCUUUCUGUCUGAGUCUAGCCUAAUUGAAGAGUCAACACUCAACAGGAUAGUGCAGUCUCACUCCUGCCAUUCUACAGUGGCGUUUCAUUUCUUUCAUUCCCUUGCCUAUUUGCCUCUCCCUAAAUUAAAGGGAUUGGGCAUUUAGUUUCACCAUAUUAUUGAUUAUUUUACACCUCAAAGGAUGAAGUGUCCCUUCAUUCAAUCAAGGAUGAGACCCCAAGGAGCAUGUCACCCUUGCAGUGCCUGUUUAUCUUAGGGUUUUACCAGUAACUACAGGACGGCAGAAAUAGACACCAGGAGCUACUUACUGAAUACUGAUGUACAUUGAGCCUCAAUGAUCAAAGCCGAAGUCCAGAUGCAAUAUUAUAGAGCUCAUAAACAAAGUUAUUCUAUAUGAGGUCCCUCCUCUCUAAGCCUUGGUGGAGCUGGUGGGAGGUAGUAGGUCCUCGGUGGAAUUAGUCGAGCUGCGCUCAAGCUGGUCCGAGCACCACCGUUAUCAAAAAAGCAAAUAUGAUAGAACUCAUAAAAGUUACUCCACGCUAAAUAUAAAUGACCAUCUUUCCACUUGCAGAAAGUUAUUUUCAUCAUAUGGACCAAAGGGAUUCGCUCAGGCGCAGUACUUCAAAUUAAUAUCAUCGUAGCAGGUAAGUUUGAAGUCAAUCCUCUAAAGACUUUGCUAACUAUAGGUUUGCGUUUUAACUUUCAAUUAAUAAACUUCAUGCCAAGUUUUUUGGUGGACAGUUAUUUUAUUCGCCAUACUCCCGGAUAAUCUAUUUCCCAAAAGAUAUCUCCAAUGACAGUUUCUGUCUGUUUAACCAAAAAGUACUAGAAUAUCUAAAGGUAUCUCACCAAAUUUCAUAUAGAAAACUGCUGAUAUUGCUGAGGAAGCAAAAAGUUCUACUUUUGUGCCCAUAUACUUAAGCAAGGUAGACAGAAGUACGAAUAAGGUUUCACAAGCUUCUAGGUCGGCUUGCCCAGCCCAACAUGUUAAAAUAAGACACAGCUUGGGGAUAGAAGAUGAGCCUGCUUUUGAUGACAAGCUCAGCUUGAUGUUUUUCAUCUUAUCUCAAAUUAGACAGUUUGCAAAAGCAAAAAAUAUGGAUCACGGUAUUGAAAUUUUAAAUACCUCACCUUUUUUUGACAAAUUAUAAAUUUCUUAUUUGCUUUAAAGAAGUAUAAACAUUAUUAAUCAUAGAACUGUGGUUCUUUGCCUCCAAUUUCAAGAUUUAUGGCUAAGACAAUCAAGGUAAAUCCAUAUCAAACCAUGCAUCCAUACACAAAUAUUCAGAUCAGAUGUAUUACAGUGCAAAGGAAGUGAAUUUGGAUCAAAUUUGGUCAUGGAACAAACAUGGGCUCAGAUAUCAGCAUCUUCAUUCAUUGGCUAGAUUGAGUUGGAUAUCAAAUGAUCUUAACCCAAUUUAGCAAAAAGUUACUUCUUUCCUUUUUUUUAAGCAAAGUUUUUCUUCAUAAAACAUUACAAUUCCUUUUCCUUAACCACAUUUGUUUUACCAAAAUAAUUGGGAUAAAAGAUCCUGCCUAAUUGCAGCGACCAGCCAAUACCCACUGCCAUUAUGUGCCGCGGACUGUCACCAUCACCAGCCUUGGCAACUUUUUCAACUGUAUUACUCAUAUAGAGACAAACUCGCAUCAACGAUGGCUUGGCAGAUUAUCCAGUAGAAUCCAAUCCAAGCUAGUGCUCAAAAAUAUAUGAACUGGAUUCGAUCCAUUUUCUUGUUGAUCCAAUACGAAUCCAUCUCUAUUCAAAUUCUACAAAUAUUUGAGAAACCUAUUUAUAGCUGGAGAAGUUGUUUUCCGUUGAAGGCUAAGAGCUUUUUUCACUGUAUUAUUUUGCCAUGCAAUUUAGAGAGAGAUAGAGAAGCAAGCUAAGUCAACAUAGCAAAAACUCUGCUGAAGUUCAGACAGAAAAUAAAAGGACAGCU